UUCGUUUCGACGAUAUUCCGAGGUGUGGAUUGGCUAUCAACGUCACAAUUUAAUGUGACUAUGUUUCAACUUUUCGGCGGUGCCGUGAAAUUUACCUUGACGCAUUCGAGUUGUUCUCUGAAUUCGCUGUCGAUUUAUCCUAGAGGUUUCUCUACAUCUAUCAGUUAUGUUGUAUUGUCUUACUGUUUUGCUUCUAAUGCUAGGAUUGUCUCUUCUUCAAAGUGUAAUACGGAAGUUUAAGUAUUAAUGAAAGUUGUGUUUCAAAAAAAAAGGAUAGUAUAGUAGUCACCAUAAUCUUUAUUAAAAGAGUUUCCUUUUUGUUGCCUUAUCUGAGAUAUUAAUUUCCUUUUUCAAGGUUGCGUUAUUUCCUUUUUUUUUUCCAACCUCUACUCUUUCUUUAUAUAAACUAAAUAGCGCAUACGUUUUCUACCACCAAACACCAGUUAAGGGCUUUGCUUUAGUCUCUCUCAAGAAGUCUCAACUAGUUUUAUAUCUCGCCAAGUUUCUUCUCUCAGUCAUAUUUUUUUGGCUCAAUAAUUCGUUCGAAGCGAAACAUGGCGAUAGAGAAACAAGAGUGCUCUCGUUCGGACGACGAUCUCUAUUCUCUCGUUUUCCAGACAUCCUUGCGACCACCAUCUUCUACAAAUAAGAAGAGAAACAACCUCGAUUCUAACUCGUCCGUACCUUCUACUUGUGCAGUCAUCAUCAUAGACGACGAUGACGAAGAGGAAACCCUAGAGUCGAAGAAGAGAAAGAACCUCGAUUCUAACUCGUUGACACCUUCUAGUACUGGUGGAGUCAUCAUCAUAAACGACGAUGAGGAAGACGAAACCCUAGAGCCUUCAAAGAAGAAGCCAAGAUUGGGGUCUUGGUGGGACGACGUUGAUUCCUUCGACGAAUUAAGUUCCGUGUUCAAGAGGUUACCAAUAAUGCAUUCAAGCUUUUCUUCAACUAAUCUUCCCGAGACGAAGACGAAGGAGGAUAAGAGAUCGUUAUCUUCAAGUGAUCAUGAGAAUUUGCUUGGUUACAGCGAUAGUGUUACUAGUAACAACAAGGAAAAUCAAGAUCGUUUAGGAUAUGGCCACGUGUCGCUUCCAAGUCUUGGCGGCUACGUCAAAGACAUCGCAACUCCUGUGGAUUCCUGCUUUCCUUCUUCGCCUACUGGUCUUCUGGAGGCGAAGACAAAUACAAACAAGGAUUACGAAAGCCAAUUAUCAUCAUCAAAUCAUCACGGUGAUAAUUUCAUUGGUUUUAGAGAGGACGAGAUUGUCGGUGAGGGUACUGAUAAUAGCAGUAAUAAGGGUAUUCGACACGUGUCACUUGAGGAGUUGGGUGUUUCGGUGGAAGAUCUCAAGAGUAUGCCAUGGGAAGCCUUUGAUCCGACAUGGGAAAUUAGGUCCGAGACCAUGGAUCCUUGGCUUGGUGGCCACGUCAGUGACAUGUUCUCUGCUAAUUAAUCCCUACGCUUAAUUGUUCGUUGUUGUUCUUCUUUUCUUAAUUCUCCUAUAUGUAAAACCAACGUCAAUUUGAUUGAUCAUGUUAAUCAUAUAUUCAUCUUGUUAAUCUUUUUUUUUUCUGGCUGCGUUCAUCUUGUUAAUUAAUCAUAUGAGAGAAAUUGAUGUUUCUAUUUGAGAUCAGUUCUAAAUUGCCUUUAGCUAUUUAAAACAUUCGAGUCAUGGAAAGCUGAUACAAAUAACUUCAAAUAAAAAAUAGGUUUGAUUUAUUUAUUUACUGAUUUAGUGUUUGUUUUUGGGAUUUAGUGUUAAGUAUGAAUAAAACAAUACUGUUUCUCAUGAGAAGUGUCACCUUUCCUGCAGAUGAAAUUAUCAAAAUCCCUAAUCGUUUUGUUAUCUUCCGGAGCGGUCUGCGGGGGCCUGAAAAUGCAAUGGAUUUCGUUUCGACGAUAUUCCGAGGUGUGGAUUGGCUAUCAACGUCACAAUUUAAUGUGACUAUGUUUCAACUUUUCGGCGGUGCCGUGAAAUUUACCUUGACGCAUUCGAGUUGUUCUCUGAAUUCGCUGUCGAUUUAUCCUAGAGGUUUCUCUACAUCUAUCAGUUAUGUUGUAUUGUCUUACUGUUUUGCUUCUAAUGCUAGGAUUGUCUCUUCUUCAAAGUGU
rnacentral:lncRNA from 1 species